rnacentral:RNase_P_RNA from 1 species
CAGGACAGCCGGGAGGCCGCCUGAGCCUUGGCUUGCCAGGGCUGGGAGGAACCUCCGAACUCCAUAGAGCGCGACGCCCGCUGAAAGGCGGGGGCGCGGGGACGCAAGGCCCUGCGCACGGAAAGUGCCACAGAGACAUACCGCCUUGGCCGCGAGGCCGGGGUAAGGGUGAAAAGGCGAGGUAAGAGCUCACCGCCCGGGCCGCGAGGCCCGGUGGCCAGGCAAACCCCGUCGGGAGCAAGGCAGAUGGGCGGCCGGCGCUGCUCGCGCGACCUGCGAAAGCAGGGGCUGCCCGGUAGCCGCAUCAGAGAAAUGGCCUCCCAGUCCGGAGGCCCCGGCUCUGUCGGGGCCGACGGAUGGACAGAAUUCGGGGUACAGGCUGUCCUGGAAC